rnacentral:lncRNA from 1 species
CUACACCUAGAGUUAGAUCAUACGAAUAGUUUAUAAAUCAGGAUAUCAGGGGUUGCGGUGGACAGAAAAAGAGUUGAACAUUUCGCUGGAAUUAACCUUAAACUAUAUACAAGAUACAGACAUACAUAUAGCUAUAUAUACAUACAGUAUGAGUAUUAAAAUGGAGGAUGGGUUAUAGGAUAUAUUUUAAAUCUGAAAGUUGAACGAAUCACAAAUACCCUGUAAUAUUUAAGCUAGACAAACUGUAAAGAUAAAAUGGUGCUUUAGCUGAAUUAUUAAUAAUUGUAAGACUUACCUUGAGGGGCGGCUACAGUCAGUAGUUUCCCCUCGCUCAUUGGAUGGAUGGAUUCUUUUUAAAUUACAUUUUGUAGCCUCUUUUUUAUUCUUACAUACCCAUUCAACUAUUGGAUGCAAAGUGUUUUAG